rnacentral:rRNA from 1 species
AAUUUUGGACAAUGGGGGAAACCCUGAUCCAGCCAUCCCGCGUGUAUGGUGAAGGUCUUCGGGUGGUAAAGCACUUUUGUCCGAGAUGAAAAGGUAGCCCCUGAUACGGGAUACUGCUGACGGUUUCUGCAGAAUAACCACCGGCUAACUGAGUGCCAGCAGCCGCGGUAAGACGUAGGGUUCAAGCGUUCAUCGGAAUUACUGGGCGUAAAGCGUGUGGAGGCGGUGCGGAAAGAAAGAUGUGAAAUCCCAGGGCCAAACCUUGGAACUGCAUUUUUAACUGCCGAGCUAGAGUAUGUCAGAGGGGAGUAGAAUUCCACGUGUAGCAGUGAAAUGCGUAGAUAUGUGGAGGAAUACCGAUGGCGAAGGCAGCCCCCUGGGAUAAUACUGACGCUCAGACACGAAAGCAUGGGGAGCAAACAGG